rnacentral:rRNA from 1 species
UUUGUUUGAGCAAUGGGGGGACACAGGAGGAUAGGGUAAGCGCGCUGUUGGAUAUGCGCGUCCAAGCAGUUAGGCCGUCAGUGAGGCAAAUCCCACUGGCAAUAGGCGGAGCUGUGAUGGCGAGGGAAAUUAAGUACCGAAGUUCCUGAUUCCACACUGUCUAGAAAAGCCUCUAGUGAGAAAGAUGGUGCCCGUACCGCAAACCGACACAGGUAGGCGAGGAGAGAAUCCUAAGGUGAGCGAGAGAACUCUCGUUAAGGAACUCGGCAAAAUGACCCCGUAACUUCGGGAGAAGGGGUGCUUUUUAGGGUGAAUAGCCCCAAAAAGCCGCAGUGAAUAGGCCCAGGCGACUGUUUAGCAAAAACACAGGUCUCUGCGAAGCCGCAAGGCGAAGUAUAGGGGCUGACGCCUGCCCGGUGCUGGAAGGUUAAGAGGAGAGGUUAGCGCAAGCGAAGCUUUGAAUUGAAGCCCCAGUAAACGGCGGCCGUAACAAUAACGGUCCUAAGGUAGCGAAAUUCCUUGUCGGGUAAGUUCCGACCCGCACGAAAGGCGUAACGAUCUGGGCACUGUCUCAACGAGAGACUCGGUGAAAUUAUAGUACCUGUGAAGAUGCAGGUUACCCGCGACAGGACGGAAAGACCCCAUGGAGCUUUACUGUAGCCUGAUAUUGAAUUUUGGUACAGCUUGUACAGGAUAGGUAGGAGCCUAGGAAGCCGGAGCGCUAGCUUCGGUGGAGGCAUUGGUGGGAUACUACCCUGGCUGUAUUGACAUUCUAACCCGCACCCAUUACCUGGGUGGGAGACAGUGUCAGGUGGGCAGUUUGACUGGGGCGGUCGCCUCCUAAAGAGUAACGGAGGCGCCCAAAGGUUCCCUCAGAAUGGUUGGAAAUCAUUCGUAGAGUGUAAAGGCAUAAGGGAGCUUGACUGCGAGACCUACAAGUCGAGCAGGGACGAAAGUCGGGCUUAGUGAUCCGGUGGUUCCGCAUGGAAGGGCCGUCGCUCAACGGAUAAAAGCUACCCUGGGGAUAACAGGCUUAUCUCCCCCAAGAGUCCACAUCGACGGGGAGGUUUGGCACCUCGAUGUCGGCUCAUCGCAUCCUGGGGCUGUAGUCGGUCCCAAGGGUUGGGCUGUUCGCCCAUUAAAGCGGUACGCGAGCUGGGUUCAGAACGUCGUGAGACAGUUCGGUCCCUAUCCGUCGUGGGCGCAGGAAAUUUGAGAGGAGCUGUCCUUAGUACGAGAGGACCGGGAUGGACGCACCGCUGGUGUACCAGUUGUUCUGCCAAGAGCAUCGCUGGGUAGCUAUGUGCGGAAGGGAUAAGUGCUGAAAGCAUCUAAGCAUGAAGCCCCCCUCGAGAUGAGAUUUCCCAUAGCGCAAGCUAGUAAGACCCCUGAAAGAUGAUCAGGUUGAUAGGUUUGGGGUGGAAGCGUGGUGACACGUGGAGCUGACAAAUACUAAUCGGUCGAGGACUUAACCU